CCUCUUUUUGCUGAGGAAGCCUGGCCCUGAGCUAACAUUGUGCCCAUCUUCCUCUACUUUAUAUGUGGGACGCCUACCACAGCAUGGCGUGCCAAGCGGUGCCAUGUCCGCACCCGGGAUCGCAACCAGCCAACCCCGGGCCGCCGAGAAGCGGAACAUGCGAACUUAACCGCUGCGCCACCGGCCAGUCCAAGAGUGGUUUUUUUUCUUUUUCUUUUUUUUUUUUUUUUGAGGAAGAUUAGCCCUCAGCUAACUACUGCCAGUCUUCCUCUUUUUGCUGAGGAAGCCUGGCCCUGAGCUAACAUUGUGCCCAUCUUCCUUCUUCAUGGCGUGCCAAGCGGUGCCAUGUCCGCACCCGGGAUCCCAACCAGCGAACCCCGGGCCGCCGAGAAGCGAAACAUGCGAACUUAACCGCUGCGCCACCGGCCGGCACCGUAAACACACAUCUUUGACAGCAAGUCCCAGAGUCUCUCAGGGCCCACACCGGCUGAGACCAUCACCGAGCUGGCUGUGAUCCAGGGGGCCCAGGCAUGUGACUCGAGCACCAACAGGGCCUGCUGGUGAGUAGUGCAAUUCUUUUUGAGGAUUUCAUCAUGAGGCUCUUGCGCCACUCGCUGUGCAGGAACAGCUCAACAAUCCCCGUCAGACACUGAUCCUCUCCCUUAAAGUCCCCUCCUGGCUUUGGCCACCAAGCUCCCCUUCUGCCUCCUCCCCCAGCUCUCCCUGGGACUCCUCCCUUUGAGCUCUGGAUUCUACACCAAAGUCAAAUUCCUCUUUCCUCCCCUAUGCAGAGUGGCUUCCUUCCUGCCUUAAAGCCUGGAUUCAGCUGGCACCCAGGCCCUGGAACUCGGCUUCCACCCCAAAGUAGGUUUAUCUCCACAUCUCAAAAAAGGCAGUGACAAAUAGUACUUCUUCUCAUUCUUACGCCAGAUUUCCACACUCCUGUCUUGCACAUGGGUGACUGGGCUGGCUUCUUCAGCCCACUGGGGUUUUUACUCUUGCCAGUCAUAGCCCUUUGCUCUAUACUCCACUGAAAUAUAUCUGUCACCCUGUUAGGUCAGAAGCUCUUGUGUUUUGCAGAAAGAUAAUUAGGUCAUUUGAUGAUGAAACUCCUAAGAGCAGCGAUGUAACGACACUCACCUCCUGUCAAUCAGCUCGCCUUUCCCAUGUGCCAGCUCUAUGCCUGCGUCCUUACUCUUUCCCUCUGAUUUAUCUUCACUUGUACCUUUACUUCCACGAGGUAAAAAUUUUGCCUUUUAAUUUUUCCCACAUCUCUUUGUCAGCCUCCAUCCCUGCUUCUGCUUUUUCCUCUUAGCCACCAGCAAACCUCUUCUGUAUUUAACUGAUUAUAUGCCAUUUCAGAAGCAUCACAGAGUGUCAUUAUAAUGGUAUUUCUCCCUUUUUCCUUCUGCUAGCUUCUGUUUCAAAUCUUUGUCACUCCCGACUAUAGACUUAUCUUUAGGACUCUGUGGCUUCCCUCGUCUCAGAACAAACAGAACGGGACUCGUUGCUCCUUCGGCUGAUGUAGGACAAGGGUGGCAGGAACUCAGCCUCUUUAGAAGUAGAGCACGGAGCCAUAAUAGCUGGAGGCUCACUGGAGGGUCCAGGUUAACCCCAGCAGCAUAGCAAAGUUGUUAUGAGCACAAAUUCGGAACCAAGCUGCCCAGGUCCGAAUCUGUGACUGACUGAGCUGUGUGACUCGGGGCAAGUGAUCAACCUUGCUGCACCCCGGUUUAUUCAUCUUUACAGUGUGUGCAAUGAUGGCACCUAUCUCACAGGGCUGAGUAAGUGUUAAAUGAGCUGUUAGAUACAGAACACUCCAGAGGGAUCUUUAUAUAGCAAGUACUCAGUAUGUUUGCUGUUGUUCCAAUCACGUUACUCUACCAGAGGGCACAGGCGCCAUCCACAGGACCAUUGGUCCUUUGCUGCCUGAGACUCAUGUCUUGGGAUAGAACUGCCUUGACAGAGUAAGGCAUUUACUCAUUCUUUUAGCCGGUGGGAUUUUCAGACUGCCUGAGGUAGGUGGUUUAGAACUAAGAAUUAAGGAUGGAGAGAAAAUAUUGAUCCAUCCCACAGAUAGGUGCUAGCCUCGGUUCCAACUUGGAAGGCUGACACUUUCUUAUCUAAGGUGAGGGUAGCAGCAUGGUGCAUAAUAUUACGUAAGUCUCUGCAAGGGUUGUAAUCUCUGACCAUUUGGUGCAGCGAGAAAGACUGUACUGUAUUAUAUGCUACCAUUUUUUAUUUUAUAGGGGAAGUUUUUCUUCUCCUUUAAUAAAACAACCAUGACUUUUACA
rnacentral:lncRNA from 1 species